CCCUUAGAUGUUCUGGGCCGCACGCGUGCUACACUGGUGGAUACAGCGAGUCUUAACCUUAACCGAAAUGGUUUGGGUAAUCUUGUGAAAGUUCAUCGUGACAGGGAUUGAUCAUUGCAAUUAUUGAUCAUGAACGAGGAAUUCCUAGUAAAGGCGAGUCAUCAUCUCGCUUUGAUUACGUCCCUGCCCUUUGUACACACCGCCCGUCGCUACUACCGAUUGAAUGGUUUAGUGAGAUCUCCGGAUUGGCUUCCUUGGUACCUUCGCGGGUCCAACGUGAAGCCGAGAAGCUGCUCAAACUUGAUCAUUUAGAGGAAGUAAAAGUCGUAACA
rnacentral:rRNA from 1 species